rnacentral:rRNA from 1 species
GGGUUGUGAGGUUAAGCGACUAAGCGUACACGGUGGAUGCCCUGGCAGUCAGAGGCGAUGAAGGACGUGCUAAUCUGCGAUAAGCGUCGGUAAGGUGAUAUGAACCGUUAUAACCGGCGAUUUCCGAAUGGGGAAACCCAGUGUGAUUCGUCACACUAUCAUUAACUGAAUCCAUAGGUUAAUGAGGCGAACCGGGGGAACUGAAACAUCUAAGUACCCCGAGGAAAAGAAAUCAACCGAGAUUCCCCCAGUAGCGGCGAGCGAACGGGGAGCAGCCCAGAGCCUGAAUCAGUGUGUGUGUUAGUGGAAGCGUCUGGAAAGGCGUGCGAUACAGGGUGACAGCCCCGUACACAAAAAUGCACAUACUGUGAGCUCGAUGAGUAGGGCGGGACACGUGGUAUCCUGUCUGAAUAUGGGGGGACCAUCCUCCAAGGCUAAAUACUCCUGACUGACCGAUAGUGAACCAGUACCGUGAGGGAAAGGCGAAAAGAACCCCGGCGAGGGGAGUGAAAAAGAACCUGAAACCGUGUACGUACAAGCAGUGGGAGCACGCUUAGGCGUGUGACUGCGUACCUUUUGUAUAAUGGGUCAGCGACUUAUAUUCUGUAGCAAGGUUAACCGAAUAGGGGAGCCGAAGGGAAACCGAGUCUUAACUGGGCGUUAAGUUGCAGGGUAUAGACCCGAAACCCGGUGAUCUAGCCAUGGGCAGGUUGAAGGUUGGGUAACACUAACUGGAGGACCGAACCGACUAAUGUUGAAAAAUUAGCGGAUGACUUGUGGCUGGGGGUGAAAGGCCAAUCAAACCGGGAGAUAGCUGGUUCUCCCCGAAAGCUAUUUAGGUAGCGCCUCGUGAAUUCAUCUCCGGGGGUAGAGCACUGUUUCGGCAAGGGGGUCAUCCCGACUUACCAACCCGAUGCAAACUGCGAAUACCGGAGAAUGUUAUCACGGGAGACACACGGCGGGUGCUAACGUCCGUCGUGAAGAGGGAAACAACCCAGACCGCCAGCUAAGGUCCCAAAGUCAUGGUUAAGUGGGAAACGAUGUGGGAAGGCCCAGACAGCCAGGAUGUUGGCUUAGAAGCAGCCAUCAUUUAAAGAAAGCGUAAUAGCUCACUGGUCGAGUCGGCCUGCGCGGAAGAUGUAACGGGGCUAAACCAUGCACCGAAGCUGCGGCAGCGAC